rnacentral:lncRNA from 1 species
GGGUGAGAAAGCCUCUCAGUUACCAAGUGUAAAAGCCAGGCUGCAGCAGCAGAUGAGCAACCACGCCAGUCAUAACUGGUGCAGGGGAAGGAUCACUUACAAACUAUAUCAGCAGCUACGUGCUGACAAAACCAUACAGUGAAGGAAGCAGGAAUGUUCUGGGGACAGAUCUGAGCUGCCAUGGCAGCUCCCACGUGCUAAAGCUUUCCAGAACAUCAGUGGACAGUCAAAUAUCUCUAGGAGCCUUUCUCAUCUGCAGGAAGGGGUCCAGCUCAUUUCCGAGCGUGUGAGAUCGGCGAAGCGGGGGCGGGGCCCUCAGGUACCGCACGCACCCCACGCGCC